rnacentral:lncRNA from 1 species
AUAUUCCCCUCCGCAUGCUCCUGGUUUUUGGCGUUUGCCUGGUUUUUUUGUUGGCUGUCGUGUUUGGCCUUUUGCAGCUUUUGCUGCUGUUGCUUCUCCUUUUGGCAUUUCAGCCCCGCCUCCCAUCCACUCAGUCUGACGCCUGUGUCAUUUUGAGUGCAUGUUUGGAGUCGCCUGUCUGUUUUGCCUCUUUGUAACUCCUUCUUUCUUUAGCUAUAUUAUUCUUACCUCUUACCAAAAAAAAAA